AUUCUAAAAUCUAUACUAAAUCUCCUAAACUUAGUCCUCUUUAUCUUUUUAUCUUAAUAUUGUUUAUGUUCUGUCAAUGCCCCUCUUGUAACUAUUCGAAUAUUUGAGCACUCACUACCAACAUGUUCUAAUACCCUCUCAUUCACUAUCUUAGGUAUGUUCUUUUCUUUGCCAAAACUAUUUUGAAUCUAUUACUAACUUGAUCGUUGGAGUCUUUGCAGGUACCACACCCAUUGCUCAUGAGCGGAAACAAUUUUGGCAACAACAGUUGGUCAAUCUAAUCUACUUCAUAUUUGGACAAUCAUUCUAGAAAUGAACAUCUUGUCCCUGUCCUUCUCAACCUCCAAGUGUCGUUUGUCUGCUUGAGGUUGAAAUUGGCCUACAUUCAAGAGAUGUAAGCAUACACGCAGUAUAUUCCACCACGAGCCUUUCUAGAUCAUUACUCCAAAUCCUAAGAUUGAGUAUUUCUUUUCAACACUUGUUAGGAUUAGGCAAUAGUAUAUAAUUGAAACCAAGAGAUCUCUGUUCAACACAUGUCCAAUGCUUUCUCUGCUUACAUCAAGUGACCAUUUUACUUCCUCUGGUUCACAAUACAAUAUAUCUGGAUUGAUGUGAAACUUUGAAGUUCUAGGAGGUCAGAUUAUUUCCUUUCUUUGUAGUGUUACAAUAUUGUUUCAUUUGGCCUAUUGUUUUUAUCUUGACCUUAAUUUGUAUAAACUUCAGCUUCCAUGAUAUUGUUAUUUUUAUUUUCCA